UACAGCUAUAUCAUGUUGAAAACACCAGUUCCUGUAUGAUCACUGAAGUUAAGCAAUGUUGAGCCUGGUCAGUACCUAGACAGCGACCACUUUGGAAUACCAGGUGCUGUAAG